CAACAACUGAAAAGAUUUUUAUGUAUAUGCCAGAGAAUAAGGCUCAGGCGUCUCUACCAGGUUACCGUAAAUGACUUGACUACAUAAAAGCUGAGAGAAACA
rnacentral:ncRNA from 2 species